rnacentral:rRNA from 1 species
CCUACGGGAGGCAGCAGUGGGGAAUAUUGGACAAUGGGGGGAACCCUGAUCCAGCCAUGCCGCGUGUGUGAAGAAGUCCCUCGGGUUGUAAAGCACUUUCAGUGAGGAAGAACGCCUGGUGGUUAAUACCCAUCAGGAAAGACAUCACUCACAGAAGAAGCACCGGCUAACUCCGUGCCAGCAGCCGCGGUAAUACGGAGGGUGCGAGCGUUAAUCGGAAUUACUGGGCGUAAAGCGCGCGUAGGUGGCUUGAUAAGCCGGUUGUGAAAGCCCCGGGCUCAACCUGGGAACGGCAUCCGGAACUGUCAAGCUAGAGUGCAGGAGAGGAAGGUAGAAUUCCCGGUGUAGCGGUGAAAUGCGUAGAGAUCGGGAGGAAUACCAGUGGCGAAGGCGGCCUUCUGGACUGACACUGACACUGAGGUGCGAAAGCGUGGGUAGCAAACAGGAUUAGAUACCCGAGUAGUC